AAUCUCUCGCUAAGAGAUCCUCAUCUCAGUACCGCUCUGAAGGUUCAAAUCUAGUUCACUAGAGCAACUCAAGUGACGUCAUCUAUGAUGGCUACUCUACACCAUUAGAUCAUUUACAGGCUUCAAGAUCAUGCAAUGGAUCUAUCACAACCACCUGUUUCAAAUGAUGCUUUACUUGUCUUGGCUGAUAUCGAGUCUACACCAACAAUAGUACAGAUACCUAGGCAACUGCCUAGA
rnacentral:misc_RNA from 1 species